UUUUUAUGCUACUUAUGACAAAAGAGUAGUUUCAUAUCUCAUUAUGAUUAGGUCAUUGUGGGGCCCACAUAGAAUUGAAAAUGGGAAGAAAAAAGUUUUCUGAAAAAACUAAAAACAAAAGUGUUACCUUUGGUAAUUGUAGUAAUUUCCAUGACCCUCUUAUGAUUUUAAGGUUCUUUCUUCAAUGUUUCACUCUUUAAUUGCACAGAUUCGAUUCCAUUUAGAAACAUGUGGCUUGUAAUGAAAGAAAGCAUCUUAAACAUACUGUAAUAAUUUAUUGCAGGAGUAUCAUUAUCAACUGGUGCUAGCGUGCUAGUGUGCUACUAUCAUUCAAUUUGUAAGAGCCCUUUAAUUUUCAAUGAAAUUGGCCCUUCACCAUUCACCAAAAACAGAUAAGGAUGCUUUUUCUGUUAGUGCUAUUCAGUUAGAAUCACUUAACUUAUUUUUGAAGUUACAUAAAAAUGUUCCCUUUUACAAGUUGUAAGUAGUUAACAACCUUAUUUAUUUAUUUAUUUGUUUUUGGCAUGUGUUAGUAUUGAAGAUUAUAAACUUGUAUUUCAGUGUGUUUAUAACACUGUGAAUAAAUUACUGAGGUUAUUUUGGGGUUUGACUGUUACAACAUGAGAAGAAUAUCUUAUCUUGAAGAGUUUUCAGUGUUGAUCAGUUCAUCUUUGUUGAUUAUGUCUCUGAUUCUUUGUUUAGGAACUAUCACGACUGUUAAUUGUAGAAUCAAACUUAAUGUAAACCAAAAGGACAAUGUUACAUAUUUCAUAUGGUCUACUAA